rnacentral:misc_RNA from 1 species
CAUCCAUAUAUCAUUUAACUUCAACUAAAACCUCAAACUCUGUAAGAUGAUUUUAGUAUUGAUUAGCUAUUUCUAUUCUUCUUUUGAAUUUUUGUCCAUUCUGGAUUCAAUUAUUCAACACACAUUUUGAUAGCUAAUGCCUUUUUCAGAUUUUGCAAUCAUCUUGUUCCUAGUAAAAUUCAAAUACUGCCACCAAAAAAAGCAACACAUAAUGCCUGAUUCCUGAUGCUUGAUCACAUACAGAUAUAGUGCUUAUCAAAUAGAGAGAAAAACUGGGGAUAAUCCUCCCAUUUCUUCUAACAAGUAGGAAUUCAUUAAAAUAUUAGUUCUUAAAACCUUCAACAAUUCACUCUUUUUACUUGAUAAAGAAGCCAUAUCCACGAAUUUUCAGUAAUCAGGAAAAACAGUUAUCCUCAAUUCCAGCUCUUGAAUACUUGAAAAAGCUGGGUAAUUUUCACUCCCCGUAUGGCUCUAGCAGCACCACCACUCACUAGAAUGCAGUGCUGCAUAGUCCUGUAACUCUUUGAACAACAUCUUAGCUUCACAAAAGUUUCCAUGCUGCAACAGAAAGGGAAGGAAAAUUAGUAUACUUUUUCGCAAGUAGCGCACGCUUGAUUAUAUUAAUACACAGGCACUGCAAACAUAAGAAAUUGCAAGUACACUUCAUAAACUUUUCAAUAAGAAUCCCGCUAUAUCUCCCUUUUAAAUUAGCACCCUUUCCUGAAGCUCCCUAUUUCACAGCAUGAAUAGAAGAGAGUGACUGAUGCACCUAAAAUAUUUCCAAAAUGAUUCAGAUAAUCCUAUAUUUGCCUUACUUUAUCUGAAUAUAAAGCACCAAUAUAUGCUGAAGCAACUCAGAUCCAAUAGAAAGGUGCAGAAAUAAAAGUGUAACACUAUCCAAGCUCUUCUCAAAUCUCUUCCAUUUGAAGGUUUUGACAAUAAAAUUAUAAGAUUCAACGCCCAAAGUUACUUUAUCCAGGAUGUUCUUCAUAAAGAAAAUGUUACAACUAAUGAAAAGCCCACCAACCGAGGACUUCAGAACAUCUUAAAAACGUCAAAUAUAGAAAGUUGUGGCAUUAGACAAAUAAUUUAUGAACCACAUUGAAGUGACUUUUAAAAAAAAAAUGAACUCAUAAGAACAGUAAAAAACAUUUUCAGAUUAAUCAUUCAUCAUACGAUACAAGAGCAGCUGUUGCAGCAAUGUAAGCCAAAGAUUACGUGUAGAAAAAAAUUAUAUUUCCAAAAUACUACGAAACCAACCAAUUAAGAAAGCAAAUAUGUAUUGACCAAAAAUAGAUUGUGGAAUAAGCCAAUAAAACAGACAAAAUAUAAACGUAACUAAAGAAAACAACAUCCCACCGAAACAAAUAGUUUGUAUAGCUGUCAAAUUAGCAUUAGCAUAAACACACUAUGAUUGAUGGCAUCUACAGCAGGACAAGGGAUGUUGAAAGGUGAGUAAAUGCAGUUUUCCCAUAAAUGAAGGACGGUGGGCAAGAUCAAUAAAAGGCAGCGUGCACAUCCCACUCGAGUGGAAAACCUGGUUUACAGGUUUGGUUCAGCGAUCCUGCCAAUCUAGCUAAUCUAACCAUGAAUGCCCAGAAGCUCCAAUCUUAUGGCACAUGAAAACGCAUCUGACAGAAGACAAAGAUUGGGGACUAUCUCGCAGGCUUAUUAAUCAUAGGAUUGCUGAGUCUAAAAAGAGAACCCAAGACCCAUGAAUUAAGAACUAGCAGAUUGUGGCUGGAGAAAUUCUGUUAGCAUCCUCUAAUAAACUCGAUGCUGAUUUUCUAUUUUCAUUCUUAAUUGAGCUAAAAUAACGUGGAAAAAAGGUAAGAAAUCUGAAUAAUAAUAAUAAUACUCUGCACAAAAUUGCAGAGAGUUCCCAAUUUUCACCGUCGUAAUAGAUUCAGAACACCACAAUUUUAUUUACAAAAAGAUAAGAGAACAGAUGAGACGAAAUAUGUGAAAUUCUGACACUCGAAAGCUAAAGGAAAAAACAGAAAAGAAGGAGGGGAAUAGAACAACAUCCAGACAAAUUUGAGAAGGAAAAGCCAAAACCUUUAAACAAAAAGGAGAGCCAAUUGCAACAGAUAUUUCCCCAACAAGUCGGUAAUGAAAUCUAGAACCGACAAAAAAGACGUAAUUGAAAAUAAACCGUAAGUUACUUACCAGGAAUCUCCUUUCUCGAAGACGAGGGGGCCAAGGCGUAGCAAAAAAGGGAACGGCCCAACAUGGAGAUGGUAGAAACAAUUCCAGCCACAUAAAAAAACAUAACCAAUCCAAGAACCCAAGGCAUCAAUAUGAACCCAAUAAAGAAGGUCAGCGAUCCACAAAGCAUCAAAGCCAGAGAAAUUCCCAGCAUCAACGACGCGAACCCCGCCGGCGAGAUCUGUGGCGGCGCCGAUGACCUCCUCCUAGAAUACUCUGAUGGAAUCUCCGGGGAUUGGUCAGAGAAAGGGAUCGGCGACGGCGGCGAACGAAGCAGAUUGAGAACCAGAGCUGAUAGCUCGUCGAAAAUCCUUGAUUGUUGAUCUUGCUGCUGACUACUCAUCAUUCUAAUUUCCUUUCUCGAAGGGGAAAAAAAAAAGGAAUAAAACCCAAAAUAUAACCAAAUAAAAUUUUUUGAAAAAUCUUUAAAACUUAAUCCGCUUGUAAAACUUUCAAUUUGUUACUGCUAAAACGAGGCAAGUGGAUAAACACAAAAACCUCUAUCUACCACGCCGGUUGAUUGGAGAGGAAUUUCUCAAUCUAUUUAACCUUCGGCACUGCACUUUCCGAUAGGCUGAGUUUUGUUUGUUGCUCAGGAAAUUCUUUGACAGUUUUAGAGAGAGAGAGAAAGAGAGAGA